rnacentral:rRNA from 1 species
UACGUAGGGGGCAAGCGUUGUCCGGAAUUAUUGGGCGUAAAGGGCACGCAGGCGGUCUUUUAAGUCAGAUGUGAAAGGUCUCGGCUCAACCGAGGAGCUGCAUCUGAAACUGGGAGACUUGAGUGCGGGAGAGGAGAGUGGAAUUCUCGGUGUAGCGGUGGAAUGCGUAGAGAUCGGGAGGAACACCAGUGGCGAAGGCGACUCUCUGGACUGUAACUGACACUGAGGCACGAAAGCGUGGGGAGCAAAC